CAAGCAGGGGGGCAACUCUGCCAUCUAUCUCUCCAGCCAAAUGAGCUCACAAAGCAGUACUGACAUACAGAAAAGUACGUUAAAAUAUUACUGAAUUACAAAUAUGUGGAAAAAGACCAACUAUUUGUGUUUGGGAAUAUUAGCACAUCCUGGAAGAUAGGUUGGGACCUGGGUUUUUAGGUAUGUAUAGGAGAAAAGGAGAAAUCUGAGCAAGGUUUUCUACAGAAUAUCCAAAAACAUGAAAAUAUAAAGAAGCAGGCUUUUCUGCUAAGAGUUUUCCUUUCUCCUGAUUUUUUUUUUCUCUCAGUCUGGAUAGAUUUGGACCUGUGUAUAAUAAGCUACAUGCAGAGGUAAAGCUUCUAUUUGCAUACUAUCUUACUUUCAGUUUGUAUGCCUUUGAUUUGUAUGUUUUAAGGGAAUGGAUUAUGAAAGGGAAUACUUUUACUCAUUUAGGUUUCUAAAUUAGACAUUGUUGAGAGUUAAGAAAACCACUAGUGUCUUAAGGAACAAGAAACCCAAAAAUCUAAACCUGAAGUCAUCCUCAGGAGAUGUCCUCCUUCACAGGGAUACAGCCUUCUGCUGCUCUUAUCUCCUACCCACACUCUGGCCUACAAGGACCUUCUUCCUUCUCUGCACAUUUAAUCUCUCAGGGCUAUAAAAUAGCAUUUCCCCUUAGAGUAUGAGGAAGGGGCUAUAGCAAACUCCCAAGUACAGUCUUCUCAGCUGUUGGCAAUCCAAGAAGACCUUCUGUGGUUUCUUGGAAUUGCUGCCAUGCAUUUACUGUAGGAAAACACCAGGGACACAUUUGCAAGGGAAUGUGUCAGACUAACUCUGGCAGCCAAACCUGCAAAUCCCGUAAGUUGCAUUUGGCAAUGGCUGGCUAAAUAGUGCUUUCCAAUGAAAGUGCAAGAAACCUGACAACAGACAGUGAAGCAACAGCUCACCAGUAAGAGGAAUGUAUUCCUAUCCCUCCUCAAGCAAUGAAGCAGGACGGUUUGUGUUACACCAUCUUCAGUAGCUGUCUGCUGGCCAGAGGGAUCUGAUAGCCAUGGUUACAGUGCUCCACUUCACAGAUGUAUGGAACUUGGGAACAGAAGGAGGAACAGAAAAGCAGAUUAUCGGACAAAUGUACAUUUAAGCACCUGGCUCAGAUAAACCUAGGAGCAGAUGGAGCAAGGAUCUACGUGGUAUUCUACAUCAGGCUCCACAAAAUUUGUGACCGAAGUUGGUCUUAUGCCAGCCUACAAUUAUGCAGGUAGAGCAAGAAGACAAAGGCUUACAUAUAUCCAUCCAGCAUAUUUCCAUCACCCUUCGCAGCCCUGCAACUCUGUUCACAGAUGUUAAACACCACAGCUCUUAUCACAAGUGUUAAAACAUAUGGUAUAUUGGGAGAAAGAAUGAACAAUUUGAAAGAAAUCCCAGCUGUUGCAUAGGAAGAUUAUUUAGCUCACUCCAGACUCCUUAUUCUACUGCAAAGAUAAAAGUGACCCAAACAACCACUGGAAUGGCCACUGGAGACUGGUAAUUUGGGAGGAUCUUAUAUCAUUACAAGCAUCCAAGAGAGCCUCUGAUUUCAUGACAGUGAAUUUCAAACAACACGUGAACCAUGAAAUGGUUCCACAUCUUCUUGUCAGGCCCAGCAAAAAAGGCCUGGUCACUUGAUUUAACUUCAGGCCUUGAGAUCUGGAGGUCAUUGGUGAAGAACAGGUCAUAGAUAAGAUAAGGUGACAUUCAGUGACGUUGCUUCAUUUAGAAUAGAAAAUGUAAAGCUAGUACUAAAAAAAAAUAAAAAUAGGAGCUGGGUAAGGAAUGCUAACUCAGGACGUAAGCUGUGUUAAAUGUUCAGUUUGGCAAAGGUCCUGGACAUGCCGUUGCUGCCAUGAUUUAUGUCAAAUCAUAUAUUGAAGGCAAGAGGAUGAAGUUUAACUUGGCUGUCUGUAUAGAACAGUCAGGAACAUCUUGUUCAAACAAGCAAGAUAGACUUUAACGUGUACUAAAAGCAUCAUCAUAGCUCUCUUGACUUGGGCCACUAAAACUCUUGUCUACAAGUGAAUUUUGUUAAGAAUCUUGAAAUGGAAGCAAACUCUCAGGUCAUCAGAUCCUCUUCCAGCAUCCAGGAGGAAUCAUGGUAGGUAAUCUCUCAAAGAUGUGUUGAUCUCCACCUUACACCCUAUAGUUUUCUUGCCUUUGCCAUUCCCUAAGAAAAAUUGUUUCUGAGCCUUUAACUUGUGAUGGCUUACAAACUGUAUCUGAUUUUCAGAUUAAGAAAAAGGAAAAAGAAAAGCAAACGCCUUUGCAAAAGCUGUUGAUUAUUCCACCCUCCUCAUGUUGACUUUCUGGGUGUAGAUGGUGUGUGCACCAAAAUAUGCAAAUUGGCUUUAUGUCCUUUACCUUAAAAAAAGCUCUGUCAGCACCAGAUGUUUUUGGUUCUCAAGAAACAUUUGUAUUUACAGUCAUAAGGAUUAUGGUUGUAUGUGGGAAUUACAAGAACUAGAAAAAUAGAAUGCAUAAAAUAAGAGGAUUGGUAUGCAGUCACGUGGAUGUAUUACUAAUGAAUCUAAUGCUUUACUGUAAGCAAAAGACUAAAUGUUUGUUUUUUAUUUAUUUAUUUAUUUAUUUAUUUUUAUUUUGGCCUCACUAAAGCUCUAUUGACUUGAAUUAAUUUUGUCCUGGCUUAGCCUAAAUAAAAACACAAGUGUGACCAGUAACAUCUGCAAUAAAAAUAUAACAUCAUUUCAAGUGGACCUUAAGGGAAAAUCAAUCAGCAGUAUUUAUUAUUUUCUCCCCGCAUGAAUUUGCUAUGCUAAAAUUGAUGCAAAGUAAUCCACAAUAAGAUGUUCCAUAACUAAUUAUAUAAAUAUAUUGAGAGAAUGCCAUUAGUAAUGUGACUUCAUUAGACCCUGGUGCAAGCAGAAGGAAAGAAAAAAAAAUCUAGUAGGAAAUCAGAAAUUAUAUCUAAAAGAAUGAAAAAGUAUUUAAGAAUAUUUUAGUGUAUCUAUAAUGAUUGUAAAUAAAAUUCCCAUCACUCUAAACAUUAUGAUAUUAAAUGAAAUGGAAGGUCUUCAAGUGCUUUAUAUUCAGGACUGAUUUUAAAAGAUUUUUUUCCUCCAUGUUUUCCUUAAAUCCAAAACAAAUCUCCAGUAAAUCACAAAAAUGUUUACUUGGGACUGACACAUGGUGAAAUUAUAUCUUCUUUUCUUAAAAUUUCACUUCCAUGGAUGCAGUUCUAUCUGUUCCUCUAUCAAAACAUGACAAUGCAUCUUGGUACUUUUAAGUGUAAUAAAAAUUUGUGGCUUUUAAUUUGCUCUGUUAAUUGCGUUCUUAUAGUUGUGGCCUCUUGAUUUUGUAGAGGAGAGAAUGCCAGAAUGAAUGAACUGGCAAUUUAUAAAGUUUCAUUUCUGGAAUGCCAACAAUCCUCCUGGUACAAUUUAAAAGCCAGAGUACAAAUAAUAUUAUGAAUAUAGCAACAUAAUAAUCUAAUCUAAGUCAAACAGGUUUUUAAAAAAUCACUUCAGGAUUUUUUUUCACCUUGGCGGUUUGUCACAUUUAAAAAUACUGCAAAUGGUUCAAAUCAAGGUUGUUUUCUGACACAGUGCCAGUAUUUGUGUAAAAUCAACUGAACAAGAUGCCUUGCUGAGGACUAGUGGUGAGCUCAGGAAUAACAAUGCCAUUGAAGGAGAAAGAUUGUCAAGGGGGCUUUGUUUCCGUGAUGCAAUUAUGCAUUAAAAAUUUUAAUACUAGAAAUGAAUACAACUCAUAGUUACUAACGUUUUGUGGGACAAAAGACUGAGGUGUGACUCUGCAAAAAGACCAGCUGCAAGCUAAGCAGCUGCAAACAAUGGCAUGCCCCGGUGUGGAGAGAAAGCAAGAAGGGAGGUCUGGGGAUGGUGAGAGGCACUGAAAGGGUUUCCUCUGCCUAACAGGGAUGCAGAGUACUGCCAGGCCAAGCACCGGUCUUUGUGUUGAUUCAAAAUAAAAGCCUCCAAAGUAACCAUUACUGAUUUUUGGUUUGGUGAAAAUACAUGUAGGUUCUGUUGCACACUCUGCUAAAGUGUGUCUCUGUAGUGAAGAAUGCUUGUGACAGGCUGGAGUGGAUCCUCUCCAGGAUGGGGAGAUGAUUCCUUCCCUGACAGUAAUGGCACAGGCUUAGCUGGGAGAUUUGGGAGGGUAAAAGGAACUAGAGUGGGUGUGAGAGAUGUGGGAUGAGCCUGAAAUGGGAGUGCAGGUGGGGAGAGGAGGAGCAGGGGCCUUCUGCAGCCAGGAGCUGACCCAAAGCCAGACUUCAGAGGUGAAAGGUAAGAAGGCAGCUUCCCAGGGACCCUGAGGAGACCUGGCAACCACAGAAGGGGCCUGGGGGAAAUGAUCCACUCUUCACCAACACAGCUGUAAGGGGACCUAUUUAAUCCAACCUUUGAAAAUCAGGAUGGCCCAAUGGCUCUGCAGUUCCUCUUCUGAGAGCCACCCUCUUGCAAAUUAUUAUUUCAUAUUCUAGUGGGUCUAGAUUGGAAGUAUCUGGUAUUUUUUUGGCAUGGGAGAGCCCUUUUUGCUUUAAAAACAUUCAGCUUCAGUGAACUGGCUGGGGAUCUUGUCACACCAUGUUUCUGUCACAUCAUAACACUGCUUUCCAUGUCAGCUUGUACCAAAUGACAGGCUCAUAGAGAAAAAGGACUUUCCUCAUUCUGAGAUUUUGCUGGUACAGGUUUACAUUUCCCUCUAAAAGAUGGUACUGAGCCAUUUCCAGCUAUAGUGUGGACUGAACACAUAAUGAAUUUGUAUUUCCUUCAAAGCAAGCUGUGCAGAUGAAGCAGGACCUGCUAGUCCAGUCAGGAUCCAUUAGCAACAAAGAUUACAUAUUUCAAUGUUCACUCUGUUGUUUUGACUGCAGGAACAAGGAGAAACAGUUCUUAAUUACUAAUAAUUCUUUGCAUGCAUAAUUGACGGACUAUUUUGUUCAAAUAGUUGGAGCUUGCAGUUUUUAAAGUGUUCCAUGUACAAAGUAUUCAUCUUUUCUAGUAGAAAUGAAAAACUUUGUUACUGUUUUGUUAAGAGAAUCUUUCUUGUGUAAGGUAGAACGUCUCAUGAGGGAAGUAAAAACUAAGAAUGUAGUUUGUUUUUAAUCCUCUAAAAAAUGCUGCUUUAUACAUACAGAUAAAUGUUCCUGAAUUACCCCAGACAUAUAUGCUAGAAGCUAGGAAGAGAAUCAGGCCCAGAGAUGUUAGAAACUGGAGAAUUCAAAGGGAAAGAUAAUUGUAUUUGGGAACCUCCCAGUAUCUAGCAGCAAGGAGGACGUUACAGAGUAAUGUGGGACUGUUCAUCAGAUAAAAUAAUGACUUAUUUCAUUAGGAUUUUUAGGAUUAGGAGAACAGACUACUUUGUUGUCAUAAGUGUCAUGGUAUCCCAGGAUAAAUAUCAGCUAGGUUGAUCUAAGACAGUGGUAAUACCACUGAUCUCUCUGGUAACCAGUGAUAGGACCUAAGGGAAUGGCACAAAGCUGCAACAGGUGAGGUUCAGGCUGGAUAUCAGAAAAAGAUUCUUCAACGAGAGUGUGGUUAGGGACUGGAACAGGCUCCUCAGGACAGUGGUCAUGGCACUGAGCCUGCCAUAGUUCAAGAAGCGUUUGGACAAUGCUCUCAGAUUCUGUGAUUCAACGAUACUCAUGUCCACGAUACAAAGAAACUACUUGCACUGAGUGUUACUCUGAAGUGAAAAAUCGCCAUCAACUGCAAGCUACGUAAUGCAUUAGUUAUUAAUAAAAACACAUCAGACAAAUUGAGCACUCUCUUGAGCUCUGAAAGCAAAAUAUGAGACCUGUGGGAAAAACUUCACUUUUUACUUUUUUUUUUUUUUCUUCAGCUGUUUUUCCACUCAUUGAGUUUGAGGGAGGGAAAGGUGAAUUAAUAGGCAUAGCUCCUGUUUCUGCCAGAAAUCUUUGUAUGACCAGUAAUUGAAUACCUAAUUAUCCAAUUACAAAAGUGUAGAUGAAGGGUGAGAAUGUGCCUGAAACUGCUUUUUCAGUUUAGGAAGGCUUAAAGGGGUAUUAUUAUAAGCUAGUCUAAGCAGCACAACACAGGCUGCACAAGUGUCGCACAAUGAGCAACUUGUUACUGAAAAUGCACAGAUGUCUUCAGGAAGAUGUCCAAUCCAAUUUAUUUGGCAAUGGAGAACACACCCACAGUAAUGCCACAGGGCUGAUCUGGUUCUUGGUAAGUGGUCUUUAGAUGAGCACUUUACCAUACAGAGCAAGUGUUGCAGACUACAGAAAUUCUUUGAAGGAUUGCUAAGUCUACUUAUUGAGGAAGGGUGUGAUGAAUGUAGCAGUUCUGGGGUAAUACUAAAGAAAAAUGGAUUUAUAGGACAUACCACACACACAGAAAAAUAUUCUGUGCCUUAGCCUGAAAUGACUGCAUCUGAAAAUCUGAAAAAGAUGGAGAACAUCAUCAAAAGCAAACAGAAAGUGGAACUUGGGAGAGCUAGAAGUAAGUUGGAGUACUUGGGGAAGAAAAGGUAUCUGCUGCAGCCCUUGAGAGAAACUGAUCUGGGGGAAAAGAUAAUUUCAGACCAUAAAGCAGCAGUGUUAGCAAUGAUUUGCUGGCAUAGCUACAUGGCACUAGGCUAACCUUUUGUUUGCAGAACAAUGCUCACUGAGGGUCAGAUUAAACACUGUUUUUUAGCCAGGUUUAUAGGAUAUUACAAGAAAUCAAUAGGUUAAUACAGAAAAACAUCUGGAUACACAAAGGAGUGAAGACAAGAAGCUGUAAAGGUGUGGCAAAGGACUUGUAGCUGUCUUAGAACAGCAGUGUAGGGAAAGGUAGUGACUUGGAAAAAAAUGCUUCAGAGCUGGAACACAAGAGGGUUGAUGGACUUCUUUACUAACUUCAGAAAUUUAAGCUGGAUCUAACUGACACAUAAAACACAGGAGUGGAAGCAAACUGUCUGUCAAGUUAGCCCAGUUUUAAGCUCUUUUUGAUUUGCAGGAGUAAUUCUAAGAGACACUGGGGUAGUAGUUCAAAACAUCAAGCACUCUGUGACAAGGCUGAGAAUGAGGUUAGAUAACGGGCCGUUUUUUUGUUUUUUUUUUUUUUAAGGGAGUAAAAGCAAGCACUACAAAUGUUAAAGGUAAGUGAGAUGGUGCCCACCCCAAAGAACAUACUGAAAAUAAUGAAGCUGUUCUCAGCAUCAUUCUUGUUAAACAUCAGGGUGAAAGAAUCUUUCACUAAAAGUCCUGAAGAUGGUUGAGCUGUUUAAGGCAGGGCAUAGGGUUUGCAGAAUUUGAGGUAAAUUUCUGGCACUUCUCAUUAGGAAUAUAUAAAACUGGCACUGGGGAUCAACUUCUCACAUUGCUUUAGAGAAUUUGGACAAGGUAGGUCUGUACUUACCUUAGUCUGCCUAUGAAGUCAAGAAGGUUAGGUGGGAGCAUUUCCAGAAGACAGUUGAGCUCUUAAGUGAAGCGCAUAUCAAUUUUCAGUAACUACACUGAAAGUUCACAGUGCUUCAAGUCCCAGUUUUGAUUCAUAUUUAUUUUGCCAGAAGGUAGAUGGGAUGAACUAAAGUCUAGCUACCCCAUCUUUCUUCUACCCAGUCUUAUCAAUGGGAGACUUCGUUGGAUUUCAUUGUCAGAAGGAUCAGUAAUUAAAUAAUGUCCUUUUCUACAAGGAGUAUAUUUUUAAAAUACGCCUUCACAGAAAGCAAGCUGAGUGAAAUAAUAUAAUCCAUAAACAGAGAGCUAAACCUAAAUGUACAGGAAGCUACCAGAUUCCCUUUGAAUGAAAAAAAACAAUUAAACGGUCCUAGAGGCUACUGAUGAAAAGUGGGUCUUCACACCUAGAAAAAAAUAAAGUGUGUAAAAAAUUACAACCUUGUAGUUUCAUGAUCAAACCUUGGCCUACUUUUGACACAAAGCCAGUUGCCUGGGCACACCCUCUGUGUGUUACUUUCCUAAGAUAGGAAUUGGUGUUGUCAAAGAAUUAAAUGGAUGUGAGAAUAGCCUUCUACAAGGUAAACUGAGACUUAAAACCCAUUGUUGCCCUAAAGAUAUUGAAUAAUCAGAUCCUUUGAAGUGUAAAAACCAGAAAGAUUUUCACAACUGAUACUUUUGUCUUGGUGUCUUUGGCAUAUUGUCACACUUUUUCUUGUAAAAGAUGUUUGGGAUGCCUGACAGAAGCAAGUGUACCCCUUCAGGUUUGCAAAUGACGUGUUAUAUACUUGUGCAAAAAUUUUUAUGAACUGAAAUGUUACAAUUGCAUAAAGGAAACAGAGCCCUACCCUUAUCCUUAUCUGGGAUCAGAAAGGAAAUAUAAACAAGGACGGAACAUGUAUGUGAGCACACAAACCUGUGGAAGAGUCAGACACAGCUCUCAGACCACCCAAUGCUCGGUCUUCCCCUUACCUGCAAGAUAAUCUCUUAUUUGUCACAUUAUUUUCUUUUCUGGCUCAUUACUAAUCACAUAACUUUCCCAAGUGAUACUUAGACAAAUUUUUCCACCUUCACAUUGCAACUUUCUCAUUCUAAUUGUUAAGCUAGCACACAAACAAAAUAGGUGCUGCAUUCUUUUAAACAAUCCCUUCUGUAUUAGAGGGCAUGUACAGUUCACAGACUUUGUUUUCAGCUCAAGAUUGUAGAUACUGGAAUAGAUUGAUAUCGGUACAGCACACUGCAGAUAAAGCUAGAGGUCUGAUUCCACAGCCAGGGGAUCCACUCUAAGAAAAACUGUGGAAAAGGACAGUGUCUCUCCCCAAGUAAAAAUUCAGAGCAGACUUCUAAUGUUCUCCUCUUUGCAAACACCAAUAAUCAUUAACAAAAGCCCAACAAAAAUUUAGCCAAACUACAUUAAGGUAGUACUGGGAAUUGAGCUUUUCAAGCCAUAAACUGAUAGGCAAGUAAGUCAGAGCUCACGUAAUGGCAACCCAUCUCAGUUAACACCAGUGACAUGAUAAUGUGUCUUCAGACUUGUUUACCUGACACAGUGCAGUAUCUCUGGCAUAUAUUUAUUUUAGUAAUAUGGGGCAGUUCUUCCUGGUGUGCUUUCUCAGAACUGCUCAGCAUAUGGAGUACCAUCAUCUCCUGAUAAGAACAGAAUGGCUACAAGCUGAAACCAGUUGAUCCCCGGCCUGACUGGCU